rnacentral:rRNA from 1 species
UACGUAGGGGGGCAAGCGUUGUCCGGAUUUAUUGGGCGUAAAGAGCUCGUAGGUGGUUCGGUAAGUCGGAUGUGAAAUCUCCAGGCUCAACCUGGAGGGGUCAUUCGAUACUGCCGUGACUAGAGGUCGGUAGGGGAGUGUGGAAAUUCCUGGUGGAGCGGUGAAAUGCGCAGAUAUCAGGAAGAACACCCGUGGCGAAGGCGGCUCUCUGGGACGGUACUGACGCUGAGACGCGAAAGCGUGGGGAGCGAACAGG